GCGCGAAAACUUUACAAUGCUGGCAACAGCGAUAAGGGAACCUCGAGUGCCAGGUUACAAAUCUGGCUGUCGAGAUGCCUAAAAAGCAUUUCAUAGCAAGGGCCGGGCAAGACCGGUGCCAGCCGCCGCGGUAACACCGGCGGCUCGAGUGGUAACCGUUAUUAUUGGGUCUAAAGGGUCUGUAGCCGGCCGGAUAAGUCUCUUGAGAAAUCUGGCAGCGUAACUGUCAGGCUUUCAGGAGAUACUGUCUGGCUCGAGGCCGGGAGAGGUGAGAGGUACUUCAGGGGUAGGGGUGAAAUCUUGUAAUCCUUGAAGGAACACCAGUGGCGAAGGCGUUUCACCAGAACGGACCUGACGGCAAGGGACGAAAGCUAGGGGCACGAACCG
rnacentral:rRNA from 1 species